UACGUAGGGUGCGAGCGUUGCCCGGAUUUAUUGGGCGUAAAGGGCGCGCAGGCGGCCACGCGCGUCCGUUGUGAAAUCGCUCGGCUCAACUGGGCGAGGUCAGCGGAUACGGCGUGGCUGGAGCAAGCUAGGGGGCAAUGGAAUUCCCGGUGUAGUGGUGGAAUGCGUAGAUAUCGGGAGGAACACCAGUGGCGAAGGCGGUCUGCUGGGCAGUUGCUGACACUGAGGCGCGACAGCGUGGGGAGCAAACAGG
rnacentral:rRNA from 1 species